rnacentral:rRNA from 1 species
UGGGGAAUAUUGGACAAUGGGCGCAAGCCUGAUCCAGCAAUGCCGCGUGAGUGAUGAAGGCCUUAGGGUUGUAAAGCUCUUUCGCACGCGACGAUGAUGACGGUAGCGUGAGAAGAAGCCCCGGCUAACUUCGUGCCAGCAGUCGCGGUAAUACGAAGGGGGCUAGCGUUGUUCGGAAUUACUGGGCGUAAAGGGCGCGUAGGCGGCCUGUUUAGUCAGAAGUGAAAGCCCCGGGCUCAACCUGGGAAUAGCUUUUGAUACUGGCAGGCUUGAGUUCCGGAGAGGAUGGUGGAAUUCCCAGUGUAGAGGUGAAAUUCGUAGAUAUUGGGAAGAACACCGGUGGCGAAGGCGGCCAUCUGGACGGACACUGACGCUGAGGCGCGAAAGCGUGGGGAGCAAACAGGAUUAGAUACCCUGGUAGUCCGCGCCGUAAACGAUGAAUGCUAGACGUCGGGGUGCAUGCACUUCGGUGUCGCCGCUAACGCAUUAAGCAUUCCGCCUGGGGGAGUACGGCCGCAAGGUUAAAACUUAAAGGAAUUGACGGGGUCAUAGCUGUUUCCU